rnacentral:tRNA from 1 species
ACAUUGGUAGCUCAGUGGUUGAAUUUUCGCCUUCCAUGUGGGAGACCCAGGUUCGAUUCCUGUCCAAUGCA